AAUGUUCACGGCAGCUUUAUUUGCUUUAUUUUUAUUUAGAAAUUGGAAAUAAUCGAAAUAUCGGUCAACAGGUAAAUAAAUAAACUGUGGUAUAUCCAUGCAAUACAAAAUGUGGAUUAUUGAUGUACACAAAAUGGGUGAAUGCCAAAAUAAUUAUGCUGAGUAGAAGCACCUCCCCCCACAGUACUUGCUCUGCGAUUCCACUCAGAUAAAAUUCUAGAAUAUAUAAAUUAACCUUUAGUGAGAGGGAGCAGACCAGUGGUUGCCUGAACAUGGAGGACACGAGGGACGGUUUAGACCGGGGUGUGAAACUGCUGUUGGUGGUGAUGGACAUGUUCUGGCUGGAAUGUGGUGGCAUGGUCACAGCUCACGCAUCCUCGACCUCCUGGGCCCAAGCGAUCCUCCCAUCUCAGCCUCCAGAAUAGCUGGGACAACAGGCAGGCACUACCACACCCACCUGAUUUUAUUUUAAUUUUCUGUAGAGACAGGGUGUCACUAUGUUGCCCAGACUAGUCUCAAACUCCUGGGUUCAUGUGAUCCUCCAGCCUCAGCCUCCCAAAGUGCUGGGAUUACAGGCAUAAGACACCAUGCCCAGCCCAUGAAUUCUUGUAUAUAUGUAAAAACCCUUCACCACUCACCUUCCUUGACAGACAACUAAUGCAUUAUCUUAAAAACUUAGUGUACAAGAGCAAAGAAUCAAGCAUUUAUCCUGCCCUUCCUAUAUGAACUGUACCACUGGGUAACCAGAUAAGUAUAAAAAAGAAAACACUUUCUUAGAAAACCAUUCCAGCUAAUAAAGGCAAGCAAAACGACAGAAUGAGAAUACCACCAUUUUGCAACCCCAAAUAAUUAAUGGAUCUUGGCACUGAGCAUCAGCUGCCGUCAACAUGGUACUUUCCUGAGGAAAGCUCCUAACCGCCUGUUCUCCUGCCAAAGGGAUCAAAUUUGAGGCUCAUCAAGCCUCUGGACCCAGCUGCCAAUGUGCAGGAAACAUAGAGGACCAUGCUGAACUACACCAUGACCACGUGGUCAGCAAAAUCUACACUGUGGGAAGCCAUGGGACAAACAGCCCAGGCUCUUCAACAGAUAAACGGCAGGGAAAACAGUGAGGCCGACGGGACUGCAAAUGGACACUGAAGUAGAUAAAAAAAUAAACAAAAAAAAGCAGACAAGACUAAACUGCCAUCAAAAAACCAAGAAAGUCAUUUCUGUAAAAGUCAGGAUUACUUGUUGGGGCAAGGAGGGGGAGAAGAAGAGGGCUGUGGCUGGAGGGGCACUUGGGAGAGCCUCCUGGGGUAUCUGGCAAAGUACUAUUUCUUCACCAGGUGGUGGACACAAAGGUUAUUCACCUUACAAUCAUAAUCAUUCAAUAAGCUAUACAUUUGUUUUGUGUCACUUCCUGUAUGUUUUUAUAAUAAAAAGGUUUAAAACUAAAUAAAUAAUCAUGUCAAACUUUUACUACUUUUUUUUUUUUUUGAGACAGAGUCUCACUCUGUUGCCCAGGAUGGAGUGCAGUGGUGCAAUCUUGGCUCACUGCAACCUCUGCCG
rnacentral:lncRNA from 10 species